rnacentral:rRNA from 1 species
GAGUUUGAUCUUGGCUCAGAACGAACGCUGGCGGCAGGCCUAACACAUGCAAGUCGAACGCCCCGCAAGGGGAGUGGCAGACGGGUGAGUAACGCGUGGGAAUCUACCCGAUGGUACGGAACAACCCAGAGGAAAACUUUUGGCGUAAUACCGUAUGUGCCCGAAAGGGGAAAGAUUUAUCGCCACCGGAUGAGCCCGCGUCGGAUUAGCUAGUUGUAGGGUAAUGGACUUACCAAGGCAACGAUCCGUAGCUGGUCUGAGAGGACGACCAAGCCACACUGGGACUGAGACACGGCCCAGACUCCUACGGGAGGCGAGCAGUGGGGAAUAGUUAGGUCAAUGGGCGAAAGCCUGAACCAGCCAUGCCGCGUGAGUGAUGAAGG